rnacentral:rRNA from 1 species
AUUGAACGCUGGCGGCAGGCCUAACACAUGCAAGUCGAGCGGAUGAAGGGAGCUUGCUCCUGGAUUCAGCGGCGGACGGGUGAGUAAUGCCUAGGAAUCUGCCUGGUAGUGGGGGAUAACGUCCGGAAACGGGCGCUAAUACCGCAUACGUCCUGAGGGAGAAAGUGGGGGAUCUUCGGACCUCACGCUAUCAGAUGAGCCUAGGUCGGAUUAGCUAGUUGGUGGGGUAAAGGCCUACCAAGGCGACGAUCCGUAACUGGUCUGAGAGGAUGAUCAGUCACACUGGAACUGAGACACGGUCCAGAAACCUACGGGAGGCAGAAGUGGGGAAUAUUGGACAAUGGGCGAAAGCCUGAUCCAGCCAUGCCGCGUGUGUGAAGAAGGUCUUCGGAUGGUAAAGCACUUUAAGUUGGGAGGAAGGGCAGUAAGUUAAUACCUUGCUGUUUGGACGUUACCAACAGAAUAAGCACCGGCUAACUUCGU